rnacentral:rRNA from 1 species
UACGUAGGGACCAAGCGUUGUUCGGAUUUACUGGGCGUAAAGGGCGCGUAGGCGGCAUGACAAGUCACUUGUGAAAUCUCUGGGCUUAACCCAGAACGGCCAAGUGAUACUGUCGCGCUAGAGUGCAGGAAGGGGCAAUCGGAAUUCUCGGUGUAGCGGUGAAAUGCGUAGAUAUCGAGAGGAACACCAGAGGUGAAGACGGGUUGCUGGGCUGACACUGACGCUGAGGCGCGAAAGCCAGGGGAGCAGACGGG